GCUCCAUUAGCUCAACCGGGAGAGCAUCCGACUUUUAAUCGGAAGGUUGUGAGUUCGAAUCUCACAUGGGGUA
rnacentral:tRNA from 1 species